rnacentral:rRNA from 1 species
CAGCAGCCGCGGGAAUACAGAGGGUGCGAGCGUUAAUCGGAUUUACUGGGCGUAAAGCGUGCGUAGGCGGCUUUUUAAGUCGGAUGUGAAAUCCCUGAGCUUAACUUAGGAAUUGCAUUCGAUACUGGGAAGCUAGAGUAUGGGAGAGGAUGGUAGAAUUCCAGGUGUAGCGGUGAAAUGCGUAGAGAUCUGGAGGAAUACCGAUGGCGAAGGCAGCCAUCUGGCCUAAUACUGACGCUGAGGUACGAAAGCAUGGGGAGCAAACAGGAUUAGAUCCCCCGUAGUCCCUGUCUCUUAUACC